rnacentral:rRNA from 1 species
UACGUAGGGUGCAAGCGUUGUCCGGAAUUAUUGGGCGUAAAGCGCGCGCAGGCGGUCCUUUAAGUCUGAUGUGAAAGCCCACGGCUCAACCGUGGAGGGUCAUUGGAAACUGGAGGACUUGAGUACAGAAGAGGAGAGUGGAAUUCCACGUGUAGCGGUGAAAUGCGCAGAUAUCGGGAAGAACACCUAUGGCGAAGGCAGCUCUCUGGGACGGUACUGACGCUGAGACGCGAAAGCGUGGGGAGCGAACAGG